GAAAACGUGCAACAAGUCACUUCCGCAAUAAAUUGCUACAGUCGCAAGUCGACUUGGCGAUAUGUUUACAUUCGCAAAUCGCGCAGCAAGUUCCUCCGUGCAAGUAAAUUGCUGCAAUAACUUGCUAGUGUAAACCGAGCAUACACCAAGGAAAAAAUACUUGUAUGAGAAGAGCAACUUCUCCACGUGAGCAGCUGAAAUUGACAUUACGAUUUCUUGCAUCAGAAAGAAACAGAAGGACAUGUAAUUUUUGGCUGAAAUUCCGAAACAAGAAUUCAACGAAAUCAUAGGUAACACAAGGAAAGCUAUUUGCACUGUCCUGAAGAAGGAAAUCUUGAAGGCUCAGCAAAUGACGCAGUUGCUUGCUGCCAUAAAAGGACUGGUCACACUACAAACUGGAGCUACGUCGGCGCCUCUGACGCCACUGCCUGUACCGACGCCGUCGCCAACGGCGCCACCAUUUCGUGCCUUCAAUCACGACGUUGAACACUGGCCAGAAUACAUCGCCCAGCUCGAGGCUUACUUCGCAGCAUACAAUUUACCAGAAUUGGAGGCUUCGCGGCUUCCGCCGCCUCAGUCCACGACUGAGACGGCGCUUCCGCCGUCGCCGUCGCCGUCGCCGUCGC